rnacentral:rRNA from 1 species
GACGAACGCUGGCGGCGUGCUUAACACAUGCAAGUCGAACGAUGAAGCUAGAGCUUGCUCUGGUGGAUUAGUGGCGAACGGGUGAGUAACACGUGAGUAACCUGCCCCGAACUCUGGGAUAACUGCUGGAAACGGUAGCUAAUACUGGAUACGACCAGCGAAGGCAUCUUCUGUUGGUGGAAAGAAUUUCGGUUCGGGAUGGACUCGCGGCCUAUCAGCUUGUUGGUGAGGUAACGGCUCACCAAGGCGACGACGGGUAGCCGGCCAGAGAGGGUGAUCGGCCACACUGGGACUGAGACACGGCCCAGACUCCUACGGGAGGCAGCAGUGGGGAAUAUUGCACAAUGGGCGCAAGCCUGAUGCAGCAACGCUGCGUGAGGGACGACGGCCUUCGGGUUGUAAACCUCUUUUAGUAGGGAAGAAGCGAAAGUGACGGUACCUGCAGAAAAAGCACCGGCUAACUACGUGCCAGCCGCCGCAGUAA